UACGUAGGGCGCAAGCGUUGUCCGGAAUUAUUGGGCGUAAAGAGCUCGUAGGCGGCCUGUUACGUCUGCUGUGAAAUCCCGGGGCUUAACCCCGGGCGUGCAGUGGAUACGGGCAGGCUGGAGGCAGGCAGGGGAGAACGGAAUUCCCGGUGUAGCGGUGAAAUGCGCAGAUAUCGGGAGGAACACCGGUGGCGAAGGCGGUUCUCUGGGCCUGUACUGACGCUGAGGAGCGAAAGCGUGGGAGCGAACAGG
rnacentral:rRNA from 1 species